AGGACGAACGCUGGCGGCGUGCUUAACACAUGCAAGUCGAGCGGUAAGGCCCUUUCGGGGGUACACGAGCGGCGAACGGGUGAGUAACACGUGAGCAAUCUGCCCUUCACUUCGGGAUAAGCCUCGGAAACGGGUCUAAUACCGGAUAUGACUGCGCCAUGCAUGUGGUGUGGUGGAAAGUUCUGGCGGUGAGGGAUGAGCUCGCGGCCUAUCAGCUUGUUGGUGGGUAAUGGCCUACCGAAGGCUUCGACGGGUA
rnacentral:rRNA from 1 species